rnacentral:rRNA from 1 species
AGCAGCCGCGGUAAUUCCAGCUCCAAUAGCGUAUAUUAAAGUUGUUGCAGUUAAAAAGCUCGUAGUUGAAUUUCGGGGUUAGUAGGUUGGUCAUGCCUCUGGUAUGUACUGGUCUCACUGAUUCCUCCUUCCUUAUGAACCGUAAUGCCAUUAAUUUGGUGUUGCGGGAAAUUUGGACUGUUACUUUGAAAAAAUUAGAGUGUUUAAAGCAGGCUCACGCUUGAAUACAUUAGCAUGGAAUAACGGAAUAGGACGUUUGAUUUUAUUUUGUUGGUUUCUAGGAUCGACGUAAUGAUUAAUAGGGAUAGUUGGGGGCAUUAGUAUUCAAUUGUCAGAGGUGAAAUUCUUGGAUUUAUUGAAGACUAACUACUGCGAAAGCAUUUGCCAAGGAUGUUUUCAUUAAUCAAGACGAAAGUUAGGGGAUCGAAGACGAUCAGAUACCGUCGUAGUCUUAACCAUAAACUAUGCCGACUAGGGAUCGGAUGAUGUUAAUUUUUUAAUGACUCAUUCGGCGCCUUAC